rnacentral:rRNA from 1 species
UACGUAGGGUGCAAGCGUUAAUCGGAAUUACUGGGCGUAAAGCGUGCGCAGGCGGUGAUGUAAGACAGAUGUGAAAUCCCCGGGCUCAACCUGGGAACUGCAUUUGUGACUGCAUCGCUGGAGUGCGGCAGAGGGGGAUGGAAUUCCGCGUGUAGCAGUGAAAUGCGUAGAUAUGCGGAGGAACACCGAUGGCGAAGGCAAUCCCCUGGGCCUGCACUGACGCUCAUGCACGAAAGCGUGGGGAGCGAUCCGG